rnacentral:rRNA from 1 species
UACGUAGGUGGCAAGCGUUGUCCGGAAUUACUGGGCGUAAAGAGCGCGCAGGCGGUCGUUCAAGUCGCGUGUGAAAGCCCCCGGCUCAACUGGGGAGGGUCACGCGAUACUGAUCGACUGGAAGGCAGGAGAGGGUAGUGGAAUUCCCGGUGUAGUGGUGAAAUGCGUAGAUAUCGGGAGGAACACCAGUGGCGAAGGCGACUACCUGGCCUGUUCUUGACGCUGAGGCGCGAAAGCUAGGGGAGCAAACGGG